AACGUAGGGGACAAGCGUUAUCCGGAUUUACUGGGCGUAAAGCGCCCGUAGGCGGCCUGACAAGUUGGACGUGAAAGCUCCUGGCUUAACUGGGAGAGGCCGUUCAAAACUGUCAGCUAGAGUCUGGAAGAGGAGAGCGGAAUUCCCGGUGUAGUGGUGGAAUGCGUAGAGAUCGGGAGGAACACCAGUGGCGAAAGCGGCUCUCUGGUCCAAAACUGACGCUGAGGGGCGAAAGCGUGGGGAGCGAACGGG
rnacentral:rRNA from 1 species